GUUGAGUGUGUGUGUGUGUGUGUGUGUGUGUGUGUGUGUGUGUGUAUCUGUGGUGUUAGAGCUGGGAUGUGUGUCUGUGAGUCUGGUGUUUGAGAAGGGUUGCUGGGUUCCUGUGUGGUAUAGCUUAGGGCACAUUAGUAUUGAACUAAUGGGAAGACAACAUGACUUGUUUCUAACUCUUCAUUUAUACAUUAUUGAAUAUAACCUUUUUUUCUUAUCAGUUUUAACUGUUAAGGGAGACUAACAGAUAUAUCCCUCAGAGGGUGGAAGGGUGGGUUCUUAGUGUACUUUAACAUCUAAAGGUCCCUGUGGUAACUGGACUUCCCAGAUCUCCCCGCCCCCAAAAGCCCCUGACCUGAGUCACUUUUCCGGAGCAAGUCUCUUCCAGGGUAUUUCCUUGCAGGUGGCUGUUCCUAGGGAAGUCAUUUGUCCAGAUUCUUGGCUUUGAUUCCUCUCCAAGACAGAGUGGCACUCUAAGACCUCUGGCGUCAAGAUGGUCACGACCUGCGCACCCAGGAAGGAAGACGCUGGAGCCAGGGGGGAGAUAAACAGGGUUCUGGAAGGGCCUCCCGACUACAGUAGCGGAUCAGACUCAGGAUCACCCAGUGGUCUAACACAGGCUCAGCCUGGCUCUCUGGGCAUCUGGAAUUCUCCCGAUGAAAUCUGCAAGAAACUGCAGGAGGAAAGUUCGAAACUGCAGAGACCCCAGAGAUGGCACAGGAAGGAGCUGGGUCUGACUGAGGCUACUGCACACCUCAUGUGAAGUGGGGGGUGGCUGGGGGCGGGGGGGGGGGAGCAAUCUUCAGUUAGUGGCUCUCUUAGUGUCACAUUCCAGCACGGUUUCUGGACUUGUGCACGGGUGGGGGUUGCCGGUAGUCCUUCUAUUUAGAGUCAGGACAGAAAGCUCUUCUGUGGCCCAGAAAUCUUUGAAACUGUAUUUGGAUCUCUCCCAGCUGGUGGCCACUGUGAAUUGUAAUUUGAAAGGAAUCAACCAGAAGCACUUUCUUUCCGUUGCUAGCUGGGGAACUACCCCAGGACCUGCGCAUUAUUCUCUGGAGAGCCCGAGUGGGGUUGCGAUGUUAUGCAAAUCGAGGUACGUUUCCCCUGGGUUCUUGGGGGACUCAG
rnacentral:lncRNA from 1 species